AGGUAUGCAUCUUUGGACUUUACUUAAGU
rnacentral:piRNA from 1 species